rnacentral:lncRNA from 1 species
AAUCCAGUUGGAAUUUGACGGCCUCGUGUUCUACAUUCUUAAGUUGUUCAGCUUAUCAGGUAACUUUCGUUAACCAACCUCCUUUCCAGUUUAAUGACGAAGAUGGGAUGAAGGAAAAUAUAUUACUACUGCACUGUCGCACAUGUUAAUUGUCUUUAUGCAUGUUAACAUAAUCUAGUUUAUGACCCAAAAUUUGACUAUUUCGUAAUCUAAUUACAAGUCCCAAUAGAGAACCUUCACUAAAU